UCGAGCGCACUGGCCCAACUGAUAUGACGUGCUUGCACUGAAUUGACGUUGGAUUACCAGUGAGCGGCGGACGGGUGAGUAACACGUGGGCAACCUGCCCUGAAGCGGGGGAUAACAUCUGGAAACAGGUGCUAAUACCGCAUAACAACGAAAACCACAUGGUUUUCGUUUCAAAGAUGGUUUCGGCUAUCACUUCAGGAUGGGCCCGCGGUGCAUUAGCUAGUUGGUAAGGUAACGGCUUACCAAGGCGAUGAUGCAUAGCCAAGUUGAGAGACUGAUCGGCCACAAUGGAACUGAGACACGGUCCAUACUCCUACGGGAGGCAGCAGUAGGGAAUCUUCCACAAUGGGCGCAAGCCUGAUGGAGCAACACCGCGUGAGUGAAGAAGGGUUUCGGCUCGUAAAGCUCUGUUGUUGGAGAAGAACGUGCGUGAGAGUAACUGUUCACGCAGUGACGGUAUCCAACCAGAAAGUCACGGCUAACUACGUGCCAGCAGCCGCGGUAAUACGUAGGUGGCAAGCGUUAUCCGGAUUUAUUGGGCGUAAAGCGAGCGCAGGCGGUUGCUUAGGUCUGAUGUGAAAGCCUUCGGCUUAACCGAAGAAGUGCAUCGGAAACCGGGCGACUUGAGUGCAGAAGAGGACAGUGGAACUCCAGGUGUAGCGGUGGAAUGCGUAGAUAUAUGGAAGAACACCAGCGGCGAAGGCGGCUGUCUGGUCUGCAACUGACGCUGAGGCUCGAAAGCAUGGGUAGCGAACAGGAUU
rnacentral:rRNA from 1 species